AUGGGAGAAAUGGGAGGGACCAUAGCUCCACUGAUUCGCUUAAUUACAUCCCCACACCCUGUUUCCAAAAGCAGGGUGCAAAUCCAUCUCAGCAAGGUACCAGCACCUCCUGCCAGCCUGCACAGCCCUUACAAGGUCAAAGCCUACGUGAUGAUCCAAGAAGGAGGGACCUGGCCCAAAUUAUACAUCACCUGGGCAGUGUCCCAGCCAUGCUGGCUGUUUCGAAGAGGCACAUCCUGCCCAUGGAGACAACUUGAGAUUAAAAUGUCAGCAUGUACAUCAUGAAAGUUGUUAUCUGUGAAUUACUUCAUGACUUUAAUACAUACUGGUGUAUGUAGUAAAAUAUGUUGUGAAGAGUAGUUGAGAAUUAUCUUAAUUGUGCUCAGACGGCAAAAAUAAUUACAAUGUACUGAGGCCACUGAUCUCUCCUGAAGGAGCUAAGUAGUAGCAACACUUUUUAAAAGGCUUUAAAGUGAAGAGAGAGCUGAUAUUAUUUAGACACAAAGUGCUGUCUAAAAAUAUCCCAAGCAAUACGUCCAUCACAAACAUUGCACAGAUAUAUAUGAAAAGUAAAAGGUGAAAAGCAUAUGUCUCAGUUGCUUAACACAUUUCAUUUCCUGUAUUAUCAAAAUAGUAAGCUGGAUUUUACCAACAGAAAAUCUAUGCUAUAUUGUUAAAAGACAGUAUAAUGUUUUAAAAUAUAGCAUCAAUAGUUUUAAUGUUUCCUGUAGAAUCUGAUAUAACAUACAAGUUAGUGAGGGGACUGUAUGUCUGCCAAUGAAAAGAAAGCCAAUCCCUAAAUAUUAUCCUACAUAUUACAGAUUAUAUACUAGAUAGUUUUUCUGUAUGAAAUUAGUGUCCCACAUAUAUCCAUUCUACUGGAUAAAGAUGUCAGCUAUGAUAUAUGCCUUCUGGCCAAAUAACCCCUAGCGUGAACUAAUGUAGAGAAAUUCACUUACUGCUCACAGCACAGGCCCGGUCAGAAAGCAGCCCAGAGAAAAUGUUUUCAGGAGCAGUAUUUAUCAUCUCUCAGUGACUGUUACACUGCGCUGACAAAUGGAAACAAACCAUUUUUUCCCCUUUAAUUGCCAGUCCCACAAUCUUAACUUAAGAUGUAGGAGUCAAGUCUGAGGUCAAGGACCACAGGAAAAACACAGAGCACUGCAUAGGAAAGUGGCAUCCAAUCCUACUGAGGUGCACGAAGGCACGUCUGCCCCAGCCACCGUGCAGGUCCAAGUCCACUGGUGCAGGCAGACCUGCCAGUCCCUCACAACCUUUCCAAAGCUGCAGAAACCACAAACGUUCCCUCCCUGGCAGGGUGUACACUCAGCCUGGGCAGACAAGACAUGCCUAAGGAUGCAGCUGCCUUACUCUGCUGACUUUUCAGCAGGUCAGGUGAUGAGCUGCGAUGAAUCACCUAUUUCAUCCAUGACUGGAGUCACCUGAGGCAAAUCCCCGUCCUGUGGGGCUAAAUGACCAGCAGCAUGCCACCUCCAGGCCUCACUUCAAAAAAUUAGGUAGUAUUUUUGAUACCACCAUGAUGUUAUACUGUACAUGUAAGCAAAUAACUCUAUUUAGUUUAAAUAAUUUUUCAAGCUGAUGCACUCCCCUUUGCUCUAUGUUUACUGGGUGAAGACCAGACAAGUCCAGAUCAACUUUAUCUAAACUGGAAAAUGCUGCUUUCCCUGUUCUCCAAAAGAAGGUGAUCUUGGUAAAACUUCCAGCCUGGCCAACACAAGGGCAGCUCGCUGAAGUUUCAUUUGUACACGUAUAGUGCUGAAUUUGUUGUUCUUUAAUACUUCCCACCUUGCAGGAGGGUGCUUGCUUUCCUCCGCAGCUGCCUCCUGCUCAGCCUCCACCUGCAGCAGUCACCGCUCCGGGGGCUCGGGCUUUCAGCACACCCAUGCUACAGUUUUGGCAGCAGUACAAUAACAUUGCAAUAUCUCUUGUCUAGGCUUGAUUAGAAAUCUUAACAUGCCUGCUUUGCUGUGAAGUUCCUCUGUUAAGUGCUAUGCAAGGUAGACAACCUUUAAACAAAAUAUUUGUUUUUAACGUUUAAUGGCCCCUUUCUUUCUGGCACUCACUGUUGUCAUAGGCUUAAUCACUGUAAGAGGGAUUUUUAGUGAAUCCACAUUACUCUACAGAAGGCAGUUAAGGUGACAGAGAUGUAUGUAACACACUGACAAGCACUUAAGAAAAAAAAAAAAAAGCAGUAACAGAAUUUCUUGUGCAUGCAUUGAUGGUUUAAUUUGAGCAUGAAUGGCGGGGUUAAGGCACAGCUAGAUUACUGUGGAUGCAGUGUAGAUCCAGAUAUUUAUUAAUAAAACAGCCUGGCUUUCAUAAAGGGUAUUUUCA
rnacentral:lncRNA from 1 species